GACGAGGGGUCCAAGCGUUUGUUCGGAAUCAUUGGGCGUAAAGCGGGUGUAGGUGGCUCUGUAAGUCAGAAGUGAAAGCCCCGAGCUUAACUUGGGAAGUGCUUUUGAUACUGCUGAGCUUGAAUGUGGGAGAGGAUCGUGGAAUUCCAGGUGUAGUGGUGAAAAUACGUAGAUAUCUGGAGGAACACCGGUGGCGAAGGCGGCAUCCUGGACCGGUAUUGACGCUGAGGCGCGAAAAGCCAGGGGGAGCAAACGGG
rnacentral:rRNA from 1 species